rnacentral:rRNA from 1 species
GACGAACGCUGGCGGCGUGCUUAACACAUGCAAGUCGAACGGAAAGGCCCCUUUGGGGGUACUCGAGUGGCGAACGGGUGAGUAACACGUGAGUAACCUGCCCUUGACUUCGGGAUAACUUCAGGAAACUGGGGCUAAUACCGGAUAGGAAUCCUUGCUGCAUGGGGGGGGUUGGAAAGCUUCGGCGGUUUUGGAUGGACUCGCGGCCUAUCAGCUUGUUGGUGGGGUAGUGGCUUACCAAGGCUUUGACGGGUAGCCGGCCUGUGAGGGCGACCGGCCACAUUGGGACUGAGAUGCGGCCCAGACUCCUACGGGAGGCAGCAGUGGGGAAUAUUGCACAAUGGGCGGCAGCCUGAUGCAGCAACGCCGCGUGCGGGAUGACGGCCUUCGGGUUGUAAACCGCUUUCAGCAGGGGCGAAGCUUGUGGUGACGGUACCUGCAGAAGAAGCACCGGCUAACUACGUG